rnacentral:rRNA from 1 species
UUUCCUGAGCCAUGGUAAUCAUCUCAGGGUUAGUCGGGCCUAAGCCGAGGCGCAUAGCGUAGGCGAUGGACAUCAGGUUAAUAUUCCUGAACCGGCGUAGUUUGUACACUGUUCACGGCGAGAUAUUCGGAGCGGAUUCAUGGUAUGUAUCCGUCCAACCUAGGGGGAACCCGAUGGGAGUGAAAGUUAGUCUUCGGACUGACGAUUCUGGAAAAGGCACUGGCUAGAAAAGCAGGUGUACGCGUGACUAUGUCCGCCCGUACCGCAAACCAACACAGGUGCUCGAGUCGAGUAGACUCAGGCUUACGAGAGACCCUUCGCUAAGGAACUCGGCAAUACAGCGACCGUAACUUCGGGAUAAGGUCUGCCCCCUCUUCUUUGAAGAGGAAGUUGUCAGAGUACACUCAGCAAGAAGAGUGGAAACAAGGUUAAAGUGCGUGAGUAACUAACACGCAUGAGUACGCUCUUAUUCUUCGGAAUAAUGAGUCGAAAAAUCCUUUUAUUAAACCAUAUAGAUUUUUUCUGAGAUAAGUAACAUGAAUUAAUGUUCUUUUGUACUCUGGUCUAUCUUCGUCUUUACAGAUGAGGGGGCCGCAGCAAAAGAGCCCACGGAACUGUUUAUCAAAAACACAGGUCUCUGCUAACACGAAAGUGGAUGUAUAGGGGCUGACUCCUGCCCAGUGCUGGAAGGUUAAGGGGAGUGCUUCACGGUGCGAACUGAAGCCCCAGUGAACGGCGGCGGUAACUAUAACCGUCCUAAGGUAGCGAAAUUCCUUGUCAGGUAAGUUCUGACCCGCACGAAUGGAGUAAUCAUGUGGGCACUGUCUCAGCGAAGGCCUCGGUGAAAGUGCAUUGGCGGUAAAGAUGCCGUCUGUCCGUACCAGGACGAGAAGACCCCAUGGAGCUUUACUACAGCUUUACAUUGAUCCGGGUUACAACAUGUGUAGCAUAGCUGGGAGGCUUUGAAGCAGAUACGCUAGUAUUUGUGGAGCCACAGGUGAAAUACCAGCCUUGUUGUGAUCUUGAUCUCACUUGGACCGUUAUCCGGUUCGAGGACCGUGUAUGGUGGGUAGUUUAACUGGGGCGGUUGCCUCCUAAAGAGUAGCGGAGGCGUUCAAAGGUUGGCUAACUACGGAUGGAAAUCGUAGUGAUAGUGCAUACGCAUAAGCCAGCUUGACUGUGAGGAGUACAUUCCGAUCAGACACGAAAGUGGGAGUAAGUGAACCGCUAGACGUACAUUUGUACAUGAAUGUGGGAUCGCUAGCGUAGACGGAUAAAAGUUACCCCGGGGAUAACAGGCUUAUCGCGCCCAAUAGUUCACAUAGACGGCGCGGUUUGGCACCUCGAUGUCGGCUCAUCACAUCCUGGGGCUGGAGCAGGUCCCAAGGGUUCGGCUGUUCGCCGAUUAAAGUGGUACG